rnacentral:rRNA from 1 species
AUUGAACGCUGGCGGCAUGCCUUACACAUGCAAGUCGAACGGUAACAGGUCUUCGGAUGCUGACGAGUGGCGCACGGGUGAGUAAUACAUCGGAACGUGCCCGAUCGUGGGGGGUAACGAAGCGAAAGCUUUGCUAAUACCGCAUAAGAUCUACGGAUGAAAGCAGGGGACCGCAAGGCCUUGCGCGAACGGAGCGGCCGAUGGCAGAUUAGGUAGUUGGUGGGAUAAAAGCUUACCAAGCCGACGAUCUGUAGCUGGUCUGAGAGGACGACCAGCCACACUGGGACUGAGACACGGCCCAGACUCCUACGGGAGGCAGCAGUGGGGAAUUUUGGACAAUGGGCGAAAGCCUGAUCCAGCCAUGCCGCGUGCAGGAUGAAGGCCUUCGGGUUGUAAACUGCUUUUGUACGGAACGAAAAGACUCUGGUUAAUACCUGGGGUCCAUGACGGUACCGUAAGAAUAAGCACCGGCUAACUACGUG